CCAGAACAUAAAACUGAUAACAGAGGAAAUCAUGUUCUGUGAUAAAUACUACCAGUAUAUGGAGAAAAAACCUGGAGAAACAGAGGUAUAAAGACCUAUCUUGAAGAACCGCUCGUGAAAGCCCAAUCUGGCCAAGGGAAGGAUAUUUCAGCUGUUGGCUCGGUGGCCACUUCACAAUUGCUGUUCAGCGGCAUGGCAACACCCUUCCCCUUCUGCCAGGCACCAGCUGCUGCAUGCUGGGAAAAGAGGAACUUAAAAUUGUUCUUGGCUGAGUCUUUCAGCAACUUGGCAGCCCUGAACUCAUGGAUAUUUUGAUACUUACCACACCCUGCCUGUCUCACCUACACUUCCUUGACUGAUACUAAGAUGCUGCAACUAGUAUUAGCUCUGGUGACUCGAGCUUGUGUCAAGUUGACAAAAAAUGAAGCAGCUCAAGAAGCAAAGGCGUAAAUCAUCAAAAUCUUCGACAUCAUAAUUCUAGAGCUUGGAACUGAUCCACAAGAUGACAGAAAGGCUUUCCCAGGCCUUGCCUACAAUAUUGAAGUUCCUGUUUGCUUUGUGUCUCUCCUCUGGCCCUGAUGAUGAGACUUCUCUUUUCAUUCCGAGAAUCUUCUACAACAUGACCCAAACACCACAGGACUUUGUUGGUGUUUGGUACAGGGAGAUGGGUGUGACUACUCUUAACCACGGUGGUUUAGAACAGUACCCAUAAAGGCUUUUG
rnacentral:lncRNA from 1 species